UGGCCUCAACCUCACGGCGAUCUGGCUUC
rnacentral:piRNA from 1 species